rnacentral:rRNA from 1 species
CAGUAGCCGCGGUAAAACCAGCAGCCCAAGUGGUGGUCGCGUUUAUUGGGCCUAAAGCGCUCGCAGCCUGACCGGUAAGUUCCCCGUGAAAUCGGGUCGCCCAACGAUUCGGCUUGCGGGGAAUACUGUCGGUCUUGGGGCCGGGAGACGCCGAGGGUACUCCGGGGGUAGCGGUGAAAUGCUGUAAUCCUCGGGGGACUACCAGUGGCGAAGGCGCUCGGCGAUAACGGGCCUGACGGUGAGGGGCGAAAGCUGGGGGCGCGAACGGGAUUAGAUACCCCGGUAGUCCCUGUCUCUUAUA